rnacentral:lncRNA from 1 species
CAAGAUAGUUUUCCCAAAAUUUCGACAAUCUAAUUUCACCCAAAAAGAGUAUGGAAAAACCCUAGAAAUUGGGGAUUUUUGGGCUGAUUCCUUAAGAUAGAAAAAGGUUGAAAACACAAUAAGAACAGAAAAUAGAUUAGAUAAUGAUUCAGCACAAGUAGAAAUAAAGAAAGAAUUGACAGUAAGAAAUUAAAAGAUAAGUCCUAAGAAGCCUUGAAAUCUCGAAAGAUCUCACAACUCCCUUCAAACGGCUCUAAUCUCCCCUCCAAAGAAUAUCAAUGGCAAGAAGAAGGUUGAAGAUGGCUCCCAC